rnacentral:rRNA from 1 species
UACAGAGGGUGCAAACGUUGUUCGGAAUUACUGGGCGUAAAGCGUGUGUAGGCGGUCCACUAAGUCGGGUGUGAAAGCCCUGGGCUCGACCCAGGAAGUGCACUCGAAACUGGAGGGCUAGAGUAUCGGAGAGGUUGGUGGAAUUCUCGGUGUAGAGGUGAAAUUCGUAGAUAUCGAGAGGAACACCGGUGGCGAAGGCGGCCAACUGGACGAAUACUGGCGCUGAGACACGAAAGCGUGGGGAGCAAACAGG